UUUUUUUGCCUUUUUUUUUUUUUUUCCUGUCCUAUCCUCUUCCUCAGACCACUUAUCUCUGCCCCCUCCUCUCUCCCAGCACCCAUCACAGCCUUCCCCUGAUCUGCCCCUUUAAGAAAAAUCAGCCCUCUCCGCUCCUCACCCUCCGCACACUGACCUUACACACUGGACAAUAUUUAAGGAUCAAGGUGCCAUCCUAUAAAGAGGUGAUUAUCAUUAUAUUAUUAUUACUACUACUAUUAUUACUACUACUAAAUAGCAAUGCUGAAGAGAGUUUAACAGAUGUCAUCUUGCAGUCGUAGUUUAGACAUGCUUUUGUUUUUAGUCUGAAAAAUAUUUUUUUACGUAAAGUUUUCAACCAGCGUCUGUCUUUAUUUUCUCCCUCUUUUUUUUCCUUUUUUUAACCCUCUUCUCCUUUCUCGCCCCCUUUGGCUCGGGGGGGGAUUUCGCCUAACUUUAAGAAAAACAACUUUUAAAAUAACAGAAUUUGCGCUGUUGUGUUUUGUCGGUAUUUCUCGUGUUUCUACCAGAAUGUUUCGGCGCUCGGCGGCUUCUCCCCUUCUCCCCCGCUCGGGUUGUCGGUGUUUGCGGGCGUUUCGACCCGGGCCGCGGCCCCCACGUCGAGAGGGCCCCGGGCCCCGCACCCCGUCGGGAGGGGACGGGGAGGGAGGGCGGCCGCUCCCCUCCGCCUUCCAGGUGGAAGGAAAGCAGUGCGCCGGGGCAGCGCUCCCCAGGGACGGGGGAAGCCGGGAGACACCCGAGGAAAGGGGGGAGAGGAAGGACAGACACCCCCGGAGCGUCGGGGAGCCCCGCAGGACCUGCCCACCCCCCCGGAGCGGAGGUAGCGAGAGCCCGGGCAGAGCCGCUUUGAAGAGAGGAGCGAAGUGUAAAUAGCCGGUGAUUGAUGUGCUGGCUUUGACUGCGGAGAAAGCACUAUUUUAAUUCAAGUGGCCAGGUCAGAUGGUCACGGAAGAAGGUUGAAAGAAGAAAUCGCUGGCUCCUCUGGCCAUGAAAAAACACCGUGUAAAUUGCCAUUUCAGAUUUUUCAAAAAACAUGUUCAGCUCUAAGAAUUCUUCCGAAUUCGUUACACUCCGCCGCGCGAGGCUGCGCCUUGAUGGCCCCGGCGAAGAGUUCUAAAGCCGGAAAUAUUUAUCUGUUCCAAAUACACCUGAAAAAAAACCUCUCGGUGCUGGAUAAACGCUGCUCUUCUGCAGCAGAAGGAAUUAAAACGGCGAGAUUUUGAUAGCAGGAAGAUCUCUAAACGCGAACCUCAAUUCUUACUGGGUUUGCAAAACCUGUUUACAAGGCGACAUGAUCUCUGCCUUCGAACACCCCCUCACACACACACGCCCCCGCUGUUGUCUUUUUGGGAUUAAAAGAAGAUGAUCCAACGGGCUAAGGAUGUAAAAGUCCUUUUGGGAACGCGAUAAACUGCAAAAAGCCAGUGGCAACUCAUUUCUGAUUAACUCCUUUUUACAAAGGGGCGGAAUGGAAGCGAACAGGGACCCGACGGGACACGAACAUAUUUUAUUCAUUUAAUACAAAGCAGCUUUCAAAAAAAAAAAAAUCUUAAAAAAGGCAGUUCAGAGCAUAACUCACGGGCCGGGGGGGAAGGCAAAAACCUGAUGGGGUGUGAGGUGAUGUCGCCGUCAUCCCUCGCUCCCGGGAGAGCGGGCAGCGCUCCGGGCAGCGGGAGGGACGCGCUCCCCGGGCUGGGGGGGACACACAGCCCUGGACCCCCGGCCAGCCCCAGGGGGGGCGGCCCCUUUGCUGGGGACCCCCCCAGUAGGACCCCGGCUCUCCCCGCUCCCCGUAAAGGCGGAAUCAAGGAAAUCAUGUAAGUGCCCGGAGCACAAAGAGCUCCUGUCCUCGGCUCUGCAGAUCAUAACCAGAGAUGGGAAAGUAUUUACGGCACCCUCCGAGUGACUGGGCCAUCGCUACCAAAAAAAUAAUAUUUUUAACCACAGGGAACCGAGAGUUCACGUAGAUUUACAAAUUAAUGAGGACUUACUGGAGAAAGUAACUGCAAGAACAUGUGUUAAAACGCAACAGAAAGAAUUCCAUCGAUUUCCAUGAGAGGUGGACUGCAUCCAGGAAGAAUGAGUCAACUUCAUUCCUUGGGCAAAACUCACGAACUGAAGAGAAUUACUGCAGGCAUGCUUUUGGAUCACCCCGCGUCCCCCCAGUUCAUGUACUGCUGUCCCACUGACUACCUCUUAAAUGCUGUGAUGGGUUAGAACGGGGUGGGGAUUCCUCUCAAGAAUGCUUUUAAUCACUGGGAACUGAUGUUUGAACAAAUAUAUUUCCCCCACAAUAUCACAUCAGUCACGAGUAACUGUUCAGCCAAAAAGGCUCUCGCAAGACAACACAAAGCAGUGCAGGACAGAACAGCUCAGGGCACCAGGAGGAACAGAGGCUUUCACACAUCACAGGGACUCACUCCUGUCUUCUGGCUGUUUGUCCUGCUGCUAAAUCUCGUUUCUCCUCUCCCCACAAUUUGAGUGUUAAAUUGUGCAAGGGUUUGGUUUCGUUUCCGUGGAGGAGGUGAAAACUCUUGAAGCCACUGAAAAGUUUCCUCCCCAGCUCCAUUCCCCUGCUGCAGGGAGGUGCUGUUCCCCUCAGGGGAACGAGCAGCACCUUUAACUGAGAGAGAAACCCUUCCCCAGUCACACAUGCACAUUGCCUGGGUUUUAUUUUACAGGUGGAGGAACGAACUACCCAUUAAUUUAAGAGAUUUGAGUUGAAACCUCAGAACACUGUGAUGGGAGCAAUGAGGAGACAAACCCUGACACACUCUGAGUUCUGCUCUUUGCCUUCAGAAGCCCCAAGUUUCACACAGACCCUCCCAUAACUUAUUAACACACAGAGGGCAUGUCAAACAUUUAGAAACAAGGUCAUCAGGCUUCUCAGCCUUACUGGUGACUUUUUAGCCCACAAAUUUCCCACAUGAGAGCUCUUGGCAGUCCCACAGGAGCACCACAGGUUUGUUGUUGAAAAUAAGUGAGGUGCAGCUCGUGAUAAGAUAAUCAAUGAACAGUUAAAAACCAAGCUCCAAAGACAUGGUUAGAAAAUUAAAUGCAAAUAUAUACAAACUAGUCAAUGGUUUCUAUGAACAUAAAUGUCUGUCUACCUCAUGACUGCUAUUUUCCAGCCAGCUUUCCAACCAGUGCAGUCUUUGCACUUCUCUAUCUACAAUUGUACCAUUUAUAAGCCAGGAGCCCACCUCGCCCAUGUGCUUGUUCCUACAGUGACUCAUGUUCCACUGGGUUUUAUUCCUGUGAAGACUCGUGCUGAACCAGAGGAAAGAGCAGAACCUUUGGGGAAGGAAUGGCACGGUUUGGAAAGCAUCAGACACACUCACUGCUCCCUGUCAGAAAACGAAAGCUCUGGUUUACAUCUCAUGUGAGAAAAUGGCCUUAAAAAUAAAAUAUUGCUAUGAUAA